UACAGAGGGUGCGAGCGUUAAUCGGAAUUACUGGGCGUAAAGCGCGCGUAGGCGGCUUUUCAAGUCGAUUGUGAAAUCCCCGGGCUUAACCUGGGAACUGCAGUCGAGACUGUCUAGCUAGAGUAUGGGAGAGGGAAGUGGAAUUUCAGGUGUAGCGGUGAAAUGCGUAGAUAUCGGAAGGAACAUCAGUGGCGAAGGCGACUUCCUGGACCAAUACUGACGCUCAGGUGCGAAAGCGUGGGGAGCAAACAGG
rnacentral:rRNA from 1 species